rnacentral:lncRNA from 11 species
AUUAGCUUCUGCUCCGGUUGCUCCUGAUACGGAAAAAAAAAAAAAAAAGCUUCUGCUCCUGCUUUUGCUUUGUUUUGCUUUUGGAAGAAGAGGCUGAAGAAGCCAUGCUCUUUGUAUUUUUGAAAUUUAAGGAAGUAUUGGAGACAUCAGAGCAUCUGGCGCAAGCGAACGAACAACUUUUAUUUAACAGGAAUCUAAAAAUGGCCACCAUCUACAGAAGAUAA